rnacentral:rRNA from 1 species
CGAAGGACCCGAGCGUUAUCCGGAUUCAUUGGGUUUAAAGGGUGCGUAGGCGGAUUGAUAAGUCAGUGGUGAAAGCCUGUUGCUUAACAACAGAACUGCCAUUGAUACUGUUGAUCUUGAAUAUGUUUGAUGUGGGCGGAAUAUGACAUGUAGCGGUGAAAUGCUUAGAUAUGUCAUAGAACACCGAUUGCGAAGGCAGCUCACAAAACCAUUAUUGACGCUGAGGCACGAAAGCGUGGGGAUCAAACAGGAUUAGAUACCCUGGUAGUCCACGCUGUAAACUUUGAUCACUCGCUGUUGGCGAUACACUGUCAGCGGCUAAGCGAAAGCGUUAAGUGAUCCACCUGGGGAGUACGAUCGCAAGAUUG